rnacentral:rRNA from 1 species
AUUGAACGCUGGCGGCAGGCCUAACACAUGCAAGUCGAGCGGAUGAAGGGAGCUUGCUCCUGGAUUCAGCGGCGGACGGGUGAGUAAUGCAUAGGAAUCUGCCUGGUAGUGGGGGAUAACGUCCGGAAACGGGCGCUAAUACCGCAUACGUCCUGAGGGAGAAAGUGGGGGAUCUUCGGACCUCACGCUAUCAGAUGAGCCUAGGUCGGAUUAGCUAGUUGGUGGGGUAAAGGCCUACCAAGGCGACGAUCCGUAACUGGUCUGAGAGGAUGAUCAGCCACACUGGAACUGAGACACGGUCCAGACUCCUACGGGAGGCAGCAGUGGGGAAUAUUGGACAAUGGGCGAAAGCCUGAUCCAGCCAUGCCGCGUGUGUGAAGAAGGUCUUCGGAUUGUAAAGCACUUUAAGUUGGGAGGAAGGGCAGUAAGUUAAUACCUUGCUGUUUUGACGUUACCAACAGAAUAAGCACCGGCUAACUUCGUG